AACGAACGCUGGCGGCAUGCCUAACACAUGCAAGUCGAACGAGUACCUUCGGUUGCUAGUGGCGCACGGGUGAGUAACGCGUGGGAACCUGCCUUUCGGUACGGGAUAACGUUUGGAAACGAACGCUAAUACCGUAUAUGUCUUUGGAUGAAAGAUUUAUCGCCGGAAGAGGGGCCCGCGUCUGAUUAAGUAGUUGGUGAGGUGAUGGCUCACCAAGCCUUCGAUCAGUAGCUGGUCUGAGAGGAUGAUCAGCCACACUGGGACUGAGACACGGCCCAGACUCCUACGGGAGGCAGCAGGUGGGAAUAUUGGACAAUGUGCGCAAGCCUGAUCCAGCAAUGCCGCGUGAGUGAUGAAGGCCUUCGGGUUGUAAAGCUCUUUACCUGCGACGAUGAUGACGGUAGCAGGAGAAUAAGCCCCGGCUAACUUCGUGCCAGCCGCCGCGGUAAAAC
rnacentral:rRNA from 1 species